AAGAGGUGAACGGCGACCUCAAUUUGUUCCAUCCUUACUAAGGGCACUUUUCAGCCAGCUGAGGGAAAAGUGCUCCUGGUGAGGAAGGAACAGUUUGAGCUCAUCCUGCCGCGGGGGG
rnacentral:precursor_RNA from 12 species